AUUAGGUAGUUGGUGAGGUAAAGGCUCACCAAGCCGACGAUCUGUAGCUGGUCUGAGAGGACGACCAGCCACACUGGGACUGAGACCACGGCCCAGACUCUACGGGAGGCAGCAGUGGGAAUUUGGACAAUGGGCGCAAGCCUGAUCCAGCAAUGCCGCGUGCAGGAUGAAGGCCUUCGGGUUGUAAACUGCUUUUGUACGGAACGAAACGGUGAGCUCUAAUACAGUUUGCUAAUGACGGUACCGUAAGAAUAAGCACCGGCUAACUACGUG
rnacentral:rRNA from 1 species